rnacentral:lncRNA from 1 species
CCUUGCUUUUACAGAGGGGGAAGCUGAGGCUCAGGAAAGCGAGGUCUCCAUUCCAGGAGCCCAGCUCUGGGGCUGGAAGGGACCUCAGGUCAUUUAGUGAGACCCCCCCCUCCUUUUGCUUUUUUUUUUUUUUUGCUUUUUGGUAAGGCAGUCAGGAUUAAGUGACUUGCCCAGGGUCACACAGCUGGUAAGUGUCAUGUGUCUGAGGCUGGAUUUGAGCUCAGGUCCUCCCGACUCCAAGGCCGGAGCUUUGUCCACUGUGUCACCUAGUUGCCCCUUUUAUAAUUUUUUCCCACUCCUUUUACAGAGGGGGAAACUGAGGCCCAGGGAAGCGAGGUCCCUCCAUCCCAGGAGCCCAAGUCUGGGGCUGGAAGUGACCUGGAGGGUCGUUAGUGCAGACAGAAGAGUGUCAACAGCCCUGACCAGGAGUGAUGUGAUCGGACCAGUGUUAGAAGAGGCUUUGGGCAGGGGUGUACUGGCUCCAUGGGAAGAGGACCUGGAGGCGGAAAGCCUGGUGAGGAAGAUGCUCUUAAAUCAAGUUACACAGGCUGAUUCCUGAGAAAUUAGACCAGACCAGGAAGGAACCAACUUCUUGCUGUCCAUCCUUGCAUUCUGGAUCACAAAACAGUCCUGAGCAAACAGAUAAAAUACCGUGCUGUGCUACCUUGUGAGGAAACGCAAAGCAGCACAAUCUCCCUAACUACGUACCCCAACUGUGAUUUUCUAAAUAAAUUUAGCUUAAUAUAUUUAGAGACCUUUGAG